AUUGAACGCUAGCGGGAUGCCUUACACAUGCAAGUCGAACGGAGUGGCGAACGGGUGAGUAAUGUAUCGGAACGUGCCCAGUAGCGGGGGAUAACUACGCGAAAGCGUAGCUAAUACCGCAUACUAUUGGAGCGGCCAAUAUGGGAUUAGCUAGUUGGUGGGGUAACGGCUCACCAAGGCGACGGUCCGUAGCUGGUUUGAGAGGAAGACCAGCCACACUGGGACUGAGACACGGCCCAGACUCCUACGUGAGGCAGCAGUGGGGAAUUUUGGACAAUGGGGGAAAGCCUGAUGCAGCCAUCCCGCGUGUGGGAAGAAGGCCUUAGGGUUGUAAAGCACUUUUGGCAGGAAAGCGGUACCUGCAGAAUAAGCACCGGCUAACUCCGUGCCAGCAGCCGCGGUAAUAC
rnacentral:rRNA from 1 species